rnacentral:rRNA from 1 species
GAUGAACGCUGGCGGCGUGCCUAAUACAUGCAAGUCGAGCGAACAGACGAGGAGCUUGCUCCUCUGACGUUAGCGGCGGACGGGUGAGUAACACGUGGAUAACCUACCUAUAAGACUGGGAUAACUUCGGGAAACCGGAGCUAAUACCGGAUAAUAUAUUGAACCGCAUGGUUCAAUAGUGAAAGACGGUUUUGCUGUCACUUAUAGAUGGAUCCGCGCCGCAUUAGCUAGUUGGUAAGGUAACGGCUUACCAAGGCGACGAUGCGUAGCCGACCUGAGAGGGUGACCGGCCACAUUGGGACUGAGAUACGGCCCAGACUCCUACGGGAGGCAGCAGUGGGGAAUAUUGCACAAUGGGCGGAAGCCUGAUGCAGCAACGCCGCGUGCGGGAUGACGGCCUUCGGGUUGUAAACCGCUUUCGCCUGUGACGAAGCGUGAGUGACGGUAAUGGGUAAAGAAGCACCGGCUAACUACGUG